UCCGUGAACUCCACAUCGUUCUCAAAUUCUGGGAAAUGUUCCAUCUCAAUUCCAACCUAUACCAACAGGAGGGAGAGGCCAACUUAUCAGAAGGAGGGAGAACAGGCCAAUUUCCUGUGCCAGAAAUUAAGGCCAGGCCUACCACUCCUAUGGCACAGUAUUGAUGAGAGACAUCAGUGGAGCUCCCCACCUCCACCCCAGGCUUGGAACUUAGGGAAUGACUGGUUUUUGUCAUUUCACACAACAGCUGAAGGAUUCUGUCCCCACCUCGUCCUCUGUGAAGUCUGCUGGACGUACCUGCCAGAAUCUUCUGAAGAUGACGUUUGCUGAACACUGACCCACAGGGGUUUGAUGGAUUAUUGACAAUGAGACAAGCUGUCUUUUCAUCAAUUAGAUAUUCCAGUUGUUUCAGGUCAAUUUCCCAAGAUUUCUCUGGCUGGAGAGAAAGAAAGGAUGAGACUAAGAUGAUUCUGAAACAUUUAGGGGGAAUCCUCACUUAUCUCAAGGGUCCAAUGUAAGCAAUAAAGUCUGUCUCUGGCUUCAACCACCACUUUGAGACCUUCCUCUGCUGAAGUAAUGUUCAUAUAUUUUUUACAGAUUGGGCAUCUAUCCCACACCAAGCACUGUCUGGCAUCUUGAACCUGAAUCGAGUCAUGUAAUCUUCACAUCAGUCCUAGAAGUAGAGGCUGUUUCAUUCCCACUUUACAAACGAAAGCUAAGUCACACUGGUAAUUGGUGGCGAGUUGGAGUUCAAGCUUCAUAAUCUGGCUCCAGAGCUCACUACACAAGUCUGCCUCUCUUCAGCGGACAAAGUAAGUUGAGAAGCACAGUCUUUUCUUCUCUAAGGAAUAUAAAAAGAGAAAACAUGAAGACAGAGCCAACUGGGAAAGCCUUAAGAAAAUAGUGAAUUAACUAUGUGGAUUAAGUAUGGACUACUCUCUGAACUUUUAUUGCUCAUCUUUAUUAAUUAUUUUGUAUCUUUGCACCCUGAAUCAUCAUUAGUUAUCACUCAUCCUUGUUGGGUACAGAGAAUGUACAUGUUCUACUUCUCCUAGCCGACUGUAUGUUACGUGAGGAAGUGCACAGCGGGGACAUUCCUAAUACUUUCAACAUCCUCCUUUGUAUCUGGCCCAGCACUUUAUAGAAGCCGUGUUCAAUACUCAUUAGCCAGUUGGCAAUAAAUUACAGUACAUGAUACAGAGGGGGAAAAAUGGUGGAAGAAGUGGUAAUUGAAGGGAAACCAAAGUCUCUUCAUAUUUAUUGUAUUUGUAGAUGGUGGGGUGAAGAAUUUAGGAGGGAUUAAGAGACCAGGUUGGACUUUGAUAAUGUAUAAUGCCU
rnacentral:lncRNA from 1 species